UACGGAGGGUGCGAGCGUUGUCCGGAAUCAUUGGGCGUAAAGGGCGCGUAGGUGGCCCCUCAAGCGUGCGGUGAAAGUCAGGGGCUCAACCCCUGAUCGGCCGUGCGAACUGGGGAGCUUGAGCACUGUAGAGGCAGGCGGAAUUCCGGGUGUAGCGGUGGAAUGCGUAGAGAUCCGGAAGAACACCGGUGGCGAAGGCGGUCUGCUGGGCAGUAGCUGACACUGAGGCGCGACAGCGUGGGGAGCAAACAGG
rnacentral:rRNA from 1 species